GUGCUCGCUUCGGCAGCACAUAUACUAAAAAAUUAUAAUGAAACAGAGAAGAUUAGUGUGGCCCCUGUGCAAAGGAUGACAUGCAAAUUCAUGAAGCAUUCCAUAUUUUU
rfam:Tupaia chinensis contig77386, whole genome shotgun sequence.